UUUUUUUUUUUUUUUUUUGCAGGUGAAGGGUAACUGAAGUUGAAUUGCCACUUUGCGAAGCGUGAUCUGCGAGCCCAGUGAUAGUUGCGGCAGCACUUAAUAAUCCCUAGAUAGACACGGCACGGCCGCAGUGUUCUUUCCUUUGAGAAAUUUGCAGUCCCUAGAGCUUAACAAUUUUUCACUUGGCCUUGACAGCUCGCUGUGUAUUGAUGGUUCGAAUUAUAGAUGGACACCGAUGGACGCGUAGCAAACUCCAUCGAUCACUGGAUAGUAGAUGCAUAUAUAGCAUGUACUCCCUCCGUUCCUAAAUAUAAGUCUUUGUAGAGAUUUCACUAUGGACUACAUACAGAGCAAAAUGAAUGAAUCCACACUCUAAAAUGCAUCUACAUACAUCCAUAUGUUGUUCAUAGUAGAAUCUCUCCAAAGACUUAUAUUUAGGAACAGAGGGAGUAGUAUAAGUGCAUGCAUGCGCUUUCCGAUCGCUAUACCCACAAUUAUAUUGGCAAAUGGCAAGACUUACCAACCAAUUGGUACGGCAAUGCAUACUAUCUGGCAUGUAUUGUGAAUGCAUGUCAUUUUCAUGCAGACAGAUCGACGACCAACUUAUUAGAGGGUACCAUGCAUGCAUGCUUCAUGCUUCAGCUAGCAUAUACAUAGCUGCAUAUCUCUCUCUUCCAGUUCCAGCAUCCAAUCGGCCACCCCAGAGAAGGAAAAGACGCAUGCAAAUUAAGCUCUUGCAAGCAAGUACAAAUCACUGAUCAGAAUUCAGACAUAUGGCUCAGGUUAAUUAUGUGCUUGCUGCUAGUUCUAGAAUAUAGUGCACUAGAAGUGUUGGGCGCACUUUUGCUGCGCCGUUGGUGUUGUUGUGUUUCUUAAAAACAUUACUCACUCUAUUUCAAAUAUAAGGUAUAUUAGAAUUUUUUUAAAGUCAAAUCUUUUAAAGUUUGAUCAAAUUUGUAGAGAAAUAUAUCAAAAUCCAUAAUACCAAAUCGGCACAAUUAGAUUCAUCAUGAAAUGAAUUUCCAUAUUUUUUGUUUAAUAUUGUGGAUGUUGACAUUUUUGACUUUGAACUUGGUCAAAGUUAAAGGAAUUUGACUUUCAAAAAAACUAUACCCCUUAUAUUUUGGAACUGAUCGAACAUUUAGUUUGGCGGGGAGGGGAGAUGAUGUGUGUGUUUCAUUUUUUGUAUAAUUCGAUGAUUUGGUGGGCCUUUCUCGAUGUGGUUUUCUGUUAUUCGCUAAGAAACCCAUAUUUAUGUGGGGAAAUUUCUGUAUUUUGGUGCUACAGUGUCACAUGGGUGGGAGGGUGCGCAUGAUUGAUAUGUUUUUAUAGACUGGUUGCUGCUGAUUGAUUUAAAAAAUGAUUGGCCCGAUCAAAACCGUAAACCAAAUCCAUAGUUGAAUAUCUCGAUCGAAUUGAAGAGCUUCAAAAUUAGGGAACAAUAGAAUUAAAAUAAUUGAAUAGAGAGCUCCUCGAGAAAUUGUUGACCCAGUCAAAAUUGAGUGACUCAAUUUUAAAUGAAGACCCCAUUUAAUUAUUAGGCCUUAAAAAAGUUAGGAAACAUAGUGUACAUAUAGUAUAAAAGAAUUGAACGAGAGAGUUUUGAGAAAUUGAUGACCCGAUCAAAAUCGGGUGAUCCAAUUUCAAUUGGAGACCUCAAUUGAUUGUGAGCCCUUUAAAAUAGGGAGCUUAGUGUUAUAGAGGACGUGCAAUUUUUUGGUGUUCACGUUCUUUCGGGUUUUUUUCGCAUCCUUUUUCUUUUUUUCCCUCAAUUUUGGAUUUUACUUUAUUUUGAAAAGCCAAUACUUUUUAAUAGGAAAAUAUUUCUUUAAAAUUCAUGGGCUUUUCUAAAGCCCUUGAACAUUUUUUAAUUCUUCAACAUUUUUAAUAUCCAUGAGUAUUUUGUGUUUAUUUUCGUUUAUUAAAUAUAUUUUUACUUCAGGAAUGCUUUUAAAGAUUUUAUCAACAUUAUUUAAAUGAACAAACAUUUUCAGAAAGGACCAUGAUAUUUGACACACGUGUGCCAGAUAGCAAAAAAUACCAUAUACAUCUUUCUUUCUCCCUAAUUACAUGCAUGAUUGCGUGUAUUCCUUCCUCUAAUUAUAUUCAUGCAUUAGAGGACAAAAAGCUGAUGUCAUCCUAGAUUCUUCUUAUUCCAAAAAUUCAAAAUGUUUUUUAGCUCAAACCGUCGGUCCGACGCAAAGACCGUUUCCAGACGAAAGAUUCGUCGUGACGAGAUCCCGAAACUAGAUCCCAUAUUGAUAUGUUUCGAUGAGUUUUUCAGGUCAAAAGUACCACGCUUGAGUUACAGAAAUUACCCUGUGCGUGGUAGGCAAGUUAUCAUAAAUUGCGGGAGGCAUCAAAAUGGUUCUCUCACUCUUCUCUACAUACACAUGUAUAUAUGCACUAGAGGAAAAAAUGUAUAUCAUCCUAGAUUCUCUCUAUUUCAAAAUUUUAGAAUGUUUUGUAUCUCGAAUUGUUAGUCCAAUAAAAAGAUCUUUUUUCACAUAAAAAAUUCCUCGCGGCGAGUUCUUCAAAACUAUAUCUCAUGUUGAUAUGUUCUGGUGACUUUUUCUUUUGGUCAAAAGUUAUCAUAGAUGGGCUACAAAAUAGAUAUCAGUGUAGUUUUUCUUUCGGCCAAGUCUGUGGUAUACAAGUUAACGUGGUAUUUUCACAUAAGUUAUCGGGUGUAUGUUUUUCAACAACUUUUUACACUCUUUGGUCAAAGUUCCCUUAGUGCUUGUAUAAAAUUUAUCGGUUAUGCGGUUUGUAUAUUACCGUAUUCACAUAAGUUACCAGGGUAUAUUUUUCAACAAAAAAUUUGCCUCCUUGGUCAAGGUUACCGUAGUGUUUCUACGUAAGUUAUCGGUAUGCGGUUCGUAUAUCACUGUGUUAUUUUCACAUAAGUCAUGAGGUGUAUAUUUUUGAACAUUUUUUCCCUCCUUGGUCAAAGUUGUCGCCGUGUUUGUAUGUAAGUUAUUGGGUAUGUGAUUUGUAUGUUACCAUUAUAUAUUCACAUAUUACUGCGGGUAAGUUUUUCAACAACUUUUUUCUUGUAAAAGUUAAGAUGGUGUUUGUACGUAAGUUAGCGGUUGUGUGGUGCUUAUAUUACCGUGUUAUUUCCAUAGAUAUUAUCAGGGUACGUUUGAAAAACUUUUUUCCCUUGGUCAUGUACUUAUACAUAAGUUAUGAUAUUUUCACAUAUUUCUAGUGGUUUUUUUCUAUAACUAUUUUUUCCGGGUCAAAGUUCUUAGGUACAAAGACUCAAGAUCACAAAAUGGCAAUAAAAUAAUUGUUUGUUUAGUUUUUUUAGAAACAUUUGUAACAUUGCAAGUACACUGAUAUGGACCUAAGAUCCAAUAAAAUACAAAGUAACUUCUAUGACUAAAAUUUACAAUAAAUCUCGUGAAAACGCCUUCUUUGCGGCGUCAAUCUCUGCUCAAAGAAAUUCUCCGAAGACUUCGGUAAAGAGGUUUUAAUUGGACUGGAGCAACAAUGUUGUCACUCUUUCACCUGCACGAACAUUACCAAUAAUGAUUUUUUUAAAGCGCCUUGAGUUACCCAUCCAAAGAGAUGGAAAGCCUUGAUCGAUGAACGUACUUGGGUCAGGGAUGAUCCCCUAGAUGCGCAGGCCGUCGAAUCACUAUAUCUUCAUCCUGUUGUCGAUGAAAGAUUUCAAUUCCACAAAGAAUCAGACCAACAAAAAAGGCUUGACACAACAACAUAAAAAAAAUCAGACCAACGAGUGAAAAUUUAUUCUCACAAAACUAUGAUAAUCACCAGACGAUGGCGAAGAACAUAGAGAUCUUGAAGAUACGANNNNNNNNNNNNNNNNNNNNNNNNNNNNNNNNNNNNNNNNNNNNNNNNNNNNNNNNNNNNNNNNNNNNNNNNNNNNNNNNNNNNNNNNNNNNNNNNNNNNNNNNNNNNNNNNNNNNNNNNNNNNNNNNNNNNNNNNNNNNNNNNNNNNNNNNNNNNNNNNNNNNNNNNNNNNNNNNNNNNNNNNNNNNNNNNNNNNNNNNNNNNNNNNNNNNNNNNNNNNNNNNNNNNNNNNNNNNNNNNNNNNNNNNNNNNNUUCUCAGAUGGCGACAACGGCGGCACAAGAAACCCUAAUUGUUUGUUUAGUUUCUUUUUGCAGGGUAAUGUUUUGUUUAGUAUGGUCGUUUGGCUGAACCAAGGGGCCUCAUCUGGUCUUCCCACGUGCAUAAAAAGAAGUCGGUAGAAACUUGAGCCCAAAAUGGUAGAUGGCUGUCGUAAAACAAUCACCGGGUUGGCCGAAACUUUUACCAACUAAACCGAUCAAACGCACUGUGGCAUUCCUGUGUACUAAUAUGGCUAAGAGAUCAAAUAGUUUGGUUUCCUAACUCCAAGAAAACCCAAAACGCCGGUGAGUUAGUUGCAGGGUCGAGCUCGCUUCCUAGCUACCGGUGUUGGACACCCACCAUGCCAAUUUUUCAUCAUUUUUAUCCUCUGCUGUGGACAGAUGGGAGCGUUAGGUGCGGACAACCGCGUCCGCCAGAUGCGGAUCGGACGGAGUUGCAUGCGUUCGGUACUUCCACCAAGACGAUGUUGUGCACCACUUAGAUUUCCCUUUUCAAGAAUAUGUUUUCUGAAAUUCUACACCAUAACUUAUAAGUUCAUGAAUUUUUAGAAUAUACGAUUUUUUAAACAAUAAUAUAUUUUAUUUAAAUCCAACACAUAAAAAAUCGACCACCUUUUAAAUUUUUUGAAUACCUUUAAAGUUUAUAAAUAUUUUUAAAAUUUCAUGAUAAAAUUCUACUCUUUCGUAUUUUAUUUCAUUUAUCUAAACCGAAUAUAACAUUUUUGUAUCUAAAAAAAAUACAAUAGAUUCUGAAAUAAAAAUGGGUCCGGACCAUUUUUACUCCACGGUGACCGGUCCUGGGAUUUUGGCCAGCCCAGCACAGCGCCGCAUCCGCGUUUACUCGCUAUCCUGUGCCUUAUGUUACAGGAUAGGAGCUCUACUUUCUAAGCUUGAACAUUUUUCCAGGAUAUCAGUGUGCAAAAAUAUAAAAUAAAGAGAAACCUAAGAAAAAAGCAAAUGCAAUAACAGUGAAAAAACCUAUUCAAAAACCAUAGGGAAAAAACUUUGUUUUCUUUAGGGGUUAGGGAAAAAACUUGUGGGCGCUAAAUUAUAGUGCUGGCCCAAAUAGUCGGCUGCAGGCGAGCUGUAAUAAAAUUCAGUACCGCCGACGUAUAGCCUCUGCAAUAGUUGCUCAAAAAAAAUGCCCCUGCAAUAUUUCAAAGUCCCACACUCUAUAGUGGGUCGGCCCAGUUUCUCUGUUUAUUUUUCAGGUUUUUCGGUGUUCACAUUCGUGCGCUGCUUUUGGUGUUCCCGUUUUUCUGUGCCUCCUUUUUCUUUUUUCUUUUUCCUCCUCAUUUUGGAUUUUACUAUUUUUUCAUUUUCCUAUAUUUUCGUUUGAAAAUUCAAAACUUUUAAAUUGGAAAAUAUUUUUUUAAAAUUGACGAACUUUUCCAAAGCAUAUGAACAUUUUUUUAAUUCUUCAACUUUUUUAAUAUCCGUCAAUAUUUUGUGAUUUUUUUAUUUUUAAAUAUAUUUUUCUUAAUGAAAGCUUAAAAAAAUUAUCAACAUUCUUUGAAUGCACAUCAUUUUCAGAAAUAUGUUAUUUUUAAAUCUACUCCAUAAUUUAAAGGUUCAUGAAUUUUUAGAAUAUAAAGAUUUUUUAAACACGAAAAUAUUCUAUUGAAGUCGAACAUUUGUAAAAAUUUGACCACCUUUAAAUUUUUGAAUAUUUUUAAACUUUACAAAUUAUUAUAAAAUUUAAUGGUAAAAUUCUACUUCAGUAUUUUAUUUCAUUUAUCUAAACCGAAUAUAACAAUUUUUUAUCUGAAAUAAAAAAUUCCAAUAGACUCUGAAAUAAAAAUGGCCCCGGGCAAUCUUUGGUCCAGGGUGAGUGGUACCUGGGAUUUUGGCUAGCCCAGCACAGCGCCGCAUCCGCGUUUACUCGCUAUCCCACGCCUUAUGCUACAGGAUAGGAGCUCUACUUUCUAAGCUUGAACAUUUUUAUUUUGUCAAAACAAGCAAACCCUCAAAACAAAUGUGAACGAAGAAGUAGCGACAUUGUAGUUGUACUUCUGUUCGACAGGUCUGGAACUUGGGAGAUCGCCUUAAUUAGGGCUAUGAUCGCUGUUAAUUUUUUUCCCAACGAUGCAUCCCCCCUAUGAUCGCCGUUAUAAAGUUAGCUCGGAUGUUCUUUUGCCUUAAUGGAGAAUGCGCAACGCCCAGGAACUCAGAAAUGAAGAUCAUCAAGCCAUUUCUACCGUGCGGCACCACUUUGAAGAUAUCCUGCUCUUGUGCUAAUCCUUGCCCAAAGAACAGUAGUAGAGUACAUCUGACCUCAACACUUAGCAGAGAUUAGCACCAUGGAUAAAUGGACCUCGAGAGACAGGAGCAACAACAGAAUGGGAAACCACACACAGAGAUCCAGAGCCGAGUCCUGCAUCUGCUGCUAGAUUUUGGGUUCUUCUUUAGUGUGAUGAUUUGUUGAGGAGCAUACACACAUCACAAGAGCGUUAUGAUCCAAAUUCCUUGAAAUUCUUGUGGUGCAGAUCGGUGGCGUAUCGUGUCGGCAGGAAGACCACGGGCGAAAAGCUUUCCGGCCAUGCUGCAUAAUGCAGAGAUACAGAACAGAACAGCACAACCAGACACUCUUCCAGGAGCCAAAACUUCUCUUUCGUUCAGCAGCCAACAAUCUCAGGAAGCAAAUGACCCAGUUCACACAAGUAAAUUUCCUCUUGAUUUCUUCCAUUACGCAUCUAAUUAAUCCAUACCAUAUCAACAUAACAGCAGCAGCAGCAGCCGCCGCCCGUGGAUGAUACACAAGUAAGAACAGAGAAAGAUGGCCAAAAUUAUCAGUCUAUUUCCCGUGGAUUACAUGAUGAUAUGAUGAUGAUGAGCUUAUUCACAUUAUCACAUAAGGCAGAGUAUCAGAUAUUCAGAACUUGAGUGGUAGUAAAACGGAGACCAAAAAUCCAAUUCUAUCGAGAUAGUAGAAGAAGCACUUCGCAGUAGGCAGCCGCGCCGCCGCGGUUAAUCCGGGAGCGGGAAGGGGGAGGGAGGUGACGCAUCCGAAGCAGGCGGGAGGC
rnacentral:lncRNA from 1 species